rnacentral:rRNA from 1 species
GACAGAGGGGGCAAACGUUGUUCGGAAUUACUGGGCGUAAAGCGUGUGUAGGCGGCUUGUUAAGUCGGGUGUGAAAGCCCCGGGCUCAACCCGGGAAGUGCACUCGAAACUGGCAAGCUAGAGUACUGGAGAGGUUGGUGGAAUUCUCGGUGUAGAGGUGAAAUUCGUAGAUAUCGAGAGGAACACCGGUGGCGAAGGCGGCCAACUGGACAGAUACUGACGCUGAGACACGAAAGCGUGGGGAGCAAACAGG